AGCAGCCGCGGUAAUUCCAGCUCCAAUAGCGUAUAUUAAAGUUGUUGCAGUUAAAAAGCUCGUAGUUGAAUUUCGGGGUUAGUAGGUUGGUCGUGCCACUGGUACGUACUGGUCUCACUGACUCCUCCUUCCUGAUGAACUGUAAUGCCAUUAAUUUGGUGUUGCAGGGAAUCUGGACUGUUACUUUGAAGAAAUUAGAGUGUUUAAAGCAGGCUAACGCUUGAAUACAUUAGCAUGGAAUAAUGAAUAGGACGCUCGAUCCUAUUUUGUUGGUUUCUAGGAUUGACGUAAUGAUUAAUAGGGAUAGUUGGGGCAUUAGUAUUCAAUUGUCAGAGGU
rnacentral:rRNA from 1 species